GGUUGUUAUCACAGUCUAGACAUUGGACAAACCCAAACUUUACUGAUACAACCAUUCACUGCUGCCAUUUAAAUAUCAUUGUUUAAAGGUCAUCAAGGGCCUUCAAUAUAAUUUAUUUUACAGUAACUGUAUAAUUAGAUUGUAUUGACUUGUGUUUAAUAGAUUAUUUGGGGAUAUUAACUGCUGUCAGUAAAAUUAGUAAUUAACCUUAGCAAAUUGAC